CGUACAGCUGGGCCUCACUGGCCUUGAGGAAAGCCAUGAACCUCGCGGUGAAGGAGGCCACGAAGACGGACAACAUGCCGAAAUCCAGUCUGUUUAAAGGACUUCUCACUGCCCUUGCUCGUUUCUCUCUAAACAAAGCACCUGUCUCGUGCAUACUCUGUCAGACUUCGGACAGUCAUUCAGUGCACCGAGUCCUGGAGGUAAAUGUCACCUGGGAGCCUCAGUAUCAGCCUGACUGUCAACCACAGGGACUUCUCUAAGGUCCUAGGGUUCACCUACACAGUAAGGAGAUGUGGCUAUGCAUGCUGUACUGAGCUGAAAAGAGACUCAGCUGGAGAAGAAUUUUAUGAACUCAGUGCUCGUGUGGGGAGAAUCCUUUUAUACAGAUAUCCAUCAAAGACCCUACUUUAAUAAUGUCUUAUGUGACUGGGAGAGAUUUUCCUCUUCUUCAUCAGCAUCACAAAGGUCUGUUCUGGAAACAGAGAAGACAGACAGGGCAACAGCCAGCAGGUUCUGUUCUCCGUGUGGAGCCAACGUGACUUAGAAUUGCUCUGCAGUGCCGCCUCCUAUUGGACCACGUACAGCACUGGGCUCCUUGGCAGCAAUGUUCUUCCCUUCCUGUCUGGAAAGUUUUUUGGUCACACUCUUGAGUCAUGGAAGUGAAAGAGUUGGAAAGGCCUACUGUUCACUGCUUCUGCUUGUUUGCUUGCUAAUUCAGUCAACAAACCUUUUUCCAGAGACUCCUCUCACUGGGCAUUGUACUCAACACUGGAAACAAAGAAAGAGUCCUGGGCUUGAAGUAGGACUGCACAGACAUCAACAGUGUGGCCAGCCAGUAGAGUGUGGUUCAGCGGUGGGUGGCAGUGGGAUAUUCACCAGUUCCUGAGCGGGCUGCCGGUGACGCUGGAAAGGGUGAGUUAUUUCAGACCGUGGAUCAUCAUGGGUGCUCCUAAUGCCAUUUCUCACCCCCUCCUCUCUCUCUGCCUCUGUCUUUCUCCGACCUAGUUAGUUAGUACCUUACGCUUCACAUGCCCUGGAAUCCCACUAGAAUCUAGUUGCUUCCCCCCAUCCACACGUUCCCUUACAGAAUGCUGUCUGCACCAGUGCUGUCUGCAUCAGUGCUGUGGUUGACUUCAGAUUCCAGGGAGGACCACCCUGACUCAAAGUCUGUAGAUGUGCAAUCCUGAGCAACUUGCUCUGGGCUUCGUGAUCUGAGUGGUGAAAAUGCCCCAGAGUGCUCAGCAUGACCUAUAGCUCAGGGUCGAAGGUGGGCAUGGCUUUAAUGCUGUUCCUGAGCUCACUGCGGCAUCUCUGUGGUCCUCCUCAGCACUAUUUAGAUAGUUCUUCUACCUCUUCGCUUUUAGCUUCUGCCAGGGAGGAUGCUUGCUGAGUAAGUUUGGCACAGAGCAUGGGCAUCGGGCAACAUGAAAUCUGAACGGCACCAGACUCUCUCUUGAGGCUCUACUGUAGACAGCAUGUUACACACAGUUCUCACAGAAACCCUCCAAACUGGAGACAUGUAAAUG
rnacentral:sRNA from 1 species